AACGAACGCUGGCGGCGUGGAUAAGACAUGCAAGUCGAACGAGAGAAUUGCUAGCUUGCUAAUAAUUCUCUAGUGGCGCACGGGUGAGUAACACGUGAGUAACCUGCCCCCAAGAGUGGGAUAGCCCCGGGAAACUGGGAUUAAUACCGCAUAAAAUCGCAAGAUUAAAGCAGCAAUGCGCUUGGGGAUGGGCUCGCGUCCUAUUAGUUAGUUGGUGAGGUAACGGCUCACCAAGGCGAUGACGGGUAGCCGGUCUGAGAGGAUGUCCGGCCACACUGGAACUGAGACACGGUCCAGACACCUACGGGUGGCAGCAGUCGAGAAUCAUUCACAAUGGGGGAAACCCUGAUGGUGCGACGCCGCGUGGGGGAAUGAAGGUCUUCGGAUUGUAAACCCCUGUCAUGUGGGAGCAAAUUAAAAAGAUAGU
rnacentral:rRNA from 1 species